rnacentral:rRNA from 2 species
UGAGGAAUAUUGGUCAAUGGACGAGAGUCUGAACCAGCCAAGUAGCGUGAAGGAUGACUGCCCUAUGGGUUGUAAACUUCUUUUAUACGGGAAUAAAGUUAGCCACGUGUGGCUUUUUGUAUGUACCGUAUGAAUAAGGAUCGGCUAACUCCGUGCCAGCAGCCGCGGUAAUACGGAGGAUCCGAGCGUUAUCCGGAUUUAUUGGGUUUAAAGGGAGCGUAGGCGGGUUGUUAAGUCAGUUGUGAAAGUUUGCGGCUCAACCGUAAAAUUGCAGUUGAUACUGGCGACCUUGAGUGCAACAGAGGUAGGCGGAAUUCGUGGUGUAGCGGUGAAAUGCUUAGAUAUCACGAAGAACUCCGAUUGCGAAGGCAGCUUACUGGAUUGUAACUGACGCUGAUGCUCGAAAGUGUGGGUAUCAAACAGGAUUAGAUACCCUGGUAGUCCACACAGUAAACGAUGAAUACUCGCUGUUGGCGAUAUACGGUCAGCGGCCAAGCGAAAGCAUUAAGUAUUCCACCUGGGGAGUACGCCGGCAACGGUGAAACUCAAAGGAAUUGACGGGGGCCCGCACAAGCGGAGGAACAUGUGGUUUAAUUCGAUGAUACGCGAGGAACCUUACCCGGGCUUAAAUUGCAACUGACUGAACCGGAAACGGUUCCUUCUUCGGACAGUUGUGAAGGUGCUGCAUGGUUGUCGUCAGCUCGUGCCGUGAGGUGUCGGCUUAAGUGCCAUAACGAGCGCAACCCUUAUCGAUAGUUACUAGCAGGUCAUGCUGAGGACUCUAUUGAGACUGCCGUCGUAAGAUGUGAGGAAGGUGGGGAUGACGUCAAAUCAGCACGGCCCUUACGUCCGGGGCUACACACGUGUUACAAUGGGGGGUACAGAAGGCAGCUACACGGCGACGUGGUGCUAAUCCCGAAAGCCUCUCUCAGUUCGGAUUGGAGUCUGCAACCCGACUCCAUGAAGCUGGAUUCGCUAGUAAUCGCGCAUCAGCCACGGCGCGGUGAAUACGUUCCC